UACGAAGGGGGCGAGCGUGGUUCGGAAUCACUGGGCGUAAAGAGCUCGUAGGUGGUUUGUCGCGUUGUCCGUGAAAACUCACAGCUUAACUGUGGGCGUGCGGGCGAUACGGGCAGACUGGAGUACUGCAGGGGAGACUGGAAUUCCUGGUGUAGCGGUGGAAUGCGCAGAUAUCAGGAGGAACACCGGUGGCGAAGGCGGGUCUCUGGGCAGUAACUGACGCUGAGGAGCGAAAGCGUGGGGAGCGAACAGG
rnacentral:rRNA from 1 species